rnacentral:tRNA from 1 species
GCGGGGGUAGCCAAGCGGCUAAGGCGACCGCCUGCAGAGCGGUUAUUCGGGGGUUCAAGUCCCUCCCCUCGCU